UACGUAGGGCGCAAGCGUUGUCCGGAAUUAUUGGGCGUAAAGAGCUCGUAGGCGGCUUGUCACGUCGGAUGUGAAAGCCCGGGGCUUAACCCCGGGUCUGCAUUCGAUACGGGCAUGCUAGAGUGUGGUAGGGGAGAUCGGAAUUCCUGGUGUAGCGGUGAAAUGCGCAGAUAUCAGGAGGAACACCGGUGGCGAAGGCGGAUCUCUGGGCCAUUACUGACGCUGAGGAGCGAAAGCGUGGGGAGCGAACAGG
rnacentral:rRNA from 1 species